rnacentral:rRNA from 1 species
AGCUCAAAUUUAUAAUCUGGCACCUUCGGUGUCCGAGUUGUAAUCUCUAGAAAUGUUUUCCGCGUUGGACCGCACACAAGUCUGUUGGAAUACAGCGGCAUAGUGGUGAGACCCCCGUAUAUGGUGCGGACGCCCAGCGCUUUGUGAUACAUUUUCGAAGAGUCGAGUUGUUUGGGAAUGCAGCUCAAAUUGGGUGGUAAAUUCCAUCUAAAGCUAAAUAUUGGCGAGAGACCGAUAGCGAACAAGUACCGUGAGGGAAAGAUGAAAAGCACUUUGGAAAGAGAGUUAACAGUACGUGAAAUUGUUGGAAGGGAAACGCUUGAAGUCAGACUUGCUUGCCGAGCAAUCGGUUUGCAGGCCAGCAUCAGUUUUCCGGGAUGGAUAAUGGUAGAGAGAAGGUAGCAGUUUCGGCUGUGUUAUAGCUCUCUGCUGGAUACAUCUUGGGGGACUGAGGAACGCAGUGUGCCUUUGGCGGGGGUUUCGACCUCUUCACACUUAGGAUGCUGGUGGAAUGGCUUUAAACGACCCGUCUUGA